rnacentral:rRNA from 1 species
UACGGAGGGUGCAAGCGUUAUCCGGAUUCACUGGGUUUAAAGGGUGCGUAGGUGGGCUAGUAAGUCCGUGGUGAAAUCUCCAAGCUUAACUUGGAAACUGCCGUGGAUACUAUUAGUCUUGAAUGUUGUGGAGGUAAGCGGAAUAUGUCAUGUAGCGGUGAAAUGCUUAGAUAUGACAUAGAACACCGAUAGCGAAGGCAGCUUGCUGACACAAUUAUUGACACUGAGGCACGAAAGCGUGGGGAUCAAACAGG